UACGAAGGGAGCUAGCGUUGUUCGGAAUCACUGGGCGUAAAGCGCACGUAGGCGGAUGUGCAAGUCAGGGGUGAAAUCCCGGAGCUCAACUUCGGAACUGCCUUUGAUACAGCACGGCUUGAGUCCGAUAGAGGUGGGUGGAAUUCCUAGUGUAGAGGUGAAAUUCGUAGAUAUUAGGAAGAACACCGGUGGCGAAGGCGGCCCACUGGAUCGGUACUGACGCUGAGGUGCGAAAGCGUGGGUAGCAAACAGG
rnacentral:rRNA from 1 species